rnacentral:rRNA from 1 species
GAUGAACGCUGGCGGCGUGCCUAAUACAUGCAAGUCGAACGAGGUCUUCGGACCGAGUGGCGAACGGGUGAGUAACACGUUGGUACCUACCCCGAAGUGGGGAAUAACUGGCCGAAAGGUCGGCUAAUACCGCAUAAUACCGCAAGGUUAAAGCAGUAAUGCGCUUCGGGAGGGGCCUGCGUCCCAUUAGCUAGUUGGUGAGGUAAUUGCUCACCAAGGCAACGAUGGGUAGCUGGAUCGAGAGGUUGACCAGCCACACCGGGACUGAGAUACGGCCCAGACUCCUACGGGAGGCAGCAGUAAGGAAUCUUCCACAAUGGACGAAAGUCUGAUGGAGCAACGCCGCGUGCAGGAUGACGGCCUU